rnacentral:rRNA from 1 species
GAGUUUGAUCCUGGCUCAGAACGAACGCUGGCGGCGUGCUUAACACAUGCAAGUCGAACGUGAUCCGGAGCUUGCUCCGGUGAAAGUGGCGCACGGGUGAGUAACGCGUGGAUAAUCUGCCCUGGUAUCUGGGAUAACAUCUCGAAAGGGGUGCUAAUACCGGAUAAGCCCACGGGAUCCUCGGAUUCUGCGGGAAAAGGUGGCCUCUAUUUAUAAGCUACCGUAUCAGGAUGAGUCCGCGUACCAUUAGCUAGUUGGUGGGGUAAUGGCCCACCAAGGCUACGAUGGUUAGCUGGUCUGAGAGGAUGAUCAGCCACACUGGAACUGAGACACGGUCCAGACUCCUACGGGAGGCAGCAGUGAGGAAUAUUGCGCAAUGGGGGCAACCCUGACGCAGCGACGCCGCGUGGGUGAGGAAGGUUUUAGGAUCGUAAAGCCCUGUCAGGUGGGAAGAAAUGUAUAGAGGAUAAUACCCUUUAUAUUUGACGGUACCACCAGAGGAAGCACCGGCUAACUCCGUGCCAGCAGCCGCGGUAAUAC